rnacentral:rRNA from 1 species
CCUACGGGAGGCAGCAGUGAGGAAUAUUGGUCAAUGGCCGCAAGUCUGAACCAGCCAUGCCGCGUGAAGGUCAGUGCCCUAUGGGCGUUAAACUUCUUUUGUGCGGGAGCAAUAAUGGUCACGUGUGGCCAGACGAGAGUACCGUACGAAUAAGCAUCGGCUAACUCCGUGCCAGCAGCCGGGGGAAUACGGGGGGUGCAAGCGGUUUCCGGGAUUGUUGGGGUUAAAGGGUGCGUAGGCUGUGAGGUAAGUCAGCGGUGAAAUGCCCCCGCUCAACGGGGUGAAGUGCCAUUGAUACUGGCUUGCUGGAAUGCGGAUGCCGUGGGAGGAAUGUGUGGUGUAGCGGUGAAAUGCAUAGAUAUCACACAGAACACCGAUUGCGAAGGCAUCUCACGAAUCCGCGAUUGACGCUGAUGCACGAAAGCGUGGGUAUCAAACAGGAUUAGAUACCCUAGUAGUC